CCUACUGCAUUUUCCGUGCCCUGCUAUAUGCUGUGUACCACAGGAGCAAGCAGAGAAAAACACUGGAAACAAGCCCUGUUUUCCUUCAGUGUUUCCUAGAGCCAUCUGCUGACAACACGAACAUUGGGCAUCUGACAGAGGAGAAAUAUUUAUAAGGUUUAGCUCCAGUAUCACAGGCAGAGCAAUGGAGGAUGGAUUUGGAGCUGCAAGGCAAUAAACUGGUAACUGAACAAAAUGGAUCUGAGAACGCUGUCUGGGCUUGGUACCAAGAGCUGGUAUUUCACAGCAGCGACCGCCUCACAGACGAGCUGUGGGAAGCAGGAGGGAGACUCUCUCUUAGGGUGCCACUACUAUGGAGACACAGCUGGGCUGAACAAGAUUUGCUUCAAACGACAACAAGAGAGACAGAAAGUAUCUGGUUCAACCGCUGCCCGAGCAGGCAGGCACCAGAAGAGCUAGCAGCCAAUCCGGCCAUGCUCGAAGCCAGCUCUGCAGCUCAGCCAAUCAGUGACAUCAUUGCUUUCUUUAGCUUGCCCAUGGUGAUGUGAAGAUGAGAAGAAAUAGCAAGGCCCAACCAGUUCUUCAUCUGGAGACAGUUCAACGUUCUGCAAACCAGAUCUUCAGGAAUUUUACUGGGAUAAUUAUCCAAAUAAAUUGCAAGCAUUCUAUCCAAAUGGAGCUCUUUCUGAGAUGAAGAGAAUUCUCAAUGUCAAGAUUUGAACAAGAAGAGAAUGGAAUACACAAUAUGGACAUCCAUAAAAAUUCAUCAGAGAGCAUUUUACUACUGAGCUGCAAAGGUAGGAAAAAUAAAUUUUUUUUGGUUAGAAAAUAUACUUCUUUCAUCUGCGUUUCAAUAAUUUAUUCCCCUUGUUAGAUAUACAUGGAAUUGAUAUUGCUUAUUCUGACUAAGUGAAAAGUGUUAUUUCUACUUACUGCUCAAUUAGAAACAUGUAGUGUUUAAUUGUCAGUUUGAAUUUUUCUUUCAUACUAUUACAGUUUAUAUUUUACUAUAGGCAGAAUUUCCUCUUUAUCCUAAAUUUUGAUAUUCUCCAUAAUUUCAUCGUGCCUUGACAUUGCUGUAUAUAAUUUCUAUACAUCAGGAAGGCAAUUCUGUGUGCAUGUGUGUGUGUAUAUAUAUAGUUAGAAGUUAGAAACUGAAACUCUUUUUUGUCUACCAUCAUUUCAUAUUUUUCUUGCUAUUUCAAACCUAUAAUUUUUAAAGAAACGACUAACGUAAUCAUUCAUAGAAUAUGCUGUCAGUAACUUAACAAUAUAAAUGUUAACAUGGAGGCAUUUAGUUCAGCAUUUGCUUUACUUAAUAGAGUGCAGAAAAUGUGGCCCUUUUCUCAGUUAGGGUGUAUGUGAAGAUAAAUUUAGAAUUUCUAGACUAGUAAAUACUUCUCUGAUAAUAACUUAAUUAUAGCUAUUUCAAACCAAAUUGUUUAAUUGUGGUGAAUCAUAUGUAAAUUGUUCAGAUGUAGGUCAACACCCACGCCCACAUUCUAGCACCUCUUUCCUAAUUCAAGACAACUUUGCAGUGCCUAAAAGAGCUGAACAGUGCAGAUUAGAGACAUAAGACAAAAAAAAAAAAAAAA
ensembl:lncRNA MIR99AHG mir-99a-let-7c cluster host gene